GAUGAACGCUGGCGGCGUGCCUAAUACAUGCAAGUCGAGCGAACGGACGAGAAGCUUGCUUCUCUGAUGUUAGCGGCGGACGGGUGAGUAACACGUGGAUAACCUACCUAUAAGACUGGGAUAACUUCGGGAAACCGGAGCUAAUACCGGAUAAUAUUUUGAACCGCAUGGUUCAAAAGUAAAAGACGGUCUUGCUGUCACUUAUAGAUGGAUCCGCGCUGCAUUAGCUAGUUGGUAAGGUAACGGCUUACCAAGGCAACGAUGCAUAGCCGACCUGAGAGGGUGAUCGGCCACACUGGAACUGAGACACGGUCCAGACUCCUACGGGAGGCAGCAGUAGGGAAUCUUCCGCAAUGGGCGAAAGCCUGACGGAGCAACGCCGCGUGAGUGAUGAAGGUCUUCGGAUCGUAAAACUCUGUUAUUAGGGAAGAACACAUGUGUAAGUAACUGUGCACAUCUUGACGGUACCUAAUCAGAAAGCCACGGCUAACUACGUG
rnacentral:rRNA from 1 species